rnacentral:rRNA from 1 species
UCAAUAAGCGGAGGAAAAGAAACCAACAGGGAUUGCCCCAGUAACGGCGAGUGAAGCGGCAACAGCUCAAAUUUGAAAUCUGGCCCCAGGCCCGAGUUGUAAUUUGCAGAGGAUGCUUUUGGCGCGGUGCCUUCCGAGUUCCCUGGAACGGGACGCCAUAGAGGGUGAGAGCCCCGUACGGUUGGACACCAAGCCUUUGUAAAGCUCCUUCGACGAGUCGAGUAGUUUGGGAAUGCUGCUCUAAAUGGGAGGUACAUUUCUUCUAAAGCUAAAUAUUGGCCAGAGACCGAUAGCGCACAAGUAGAGUGAUCGAAAGAUGAAAAGCACUUUGAAAAGAGGGUUAAACAGCACGUGAAAUUGUUAAAAGGGAAGCGCUUGUGACCAGACUUGCGUCCGGUGAAUCACCCAGCUCUCGCGGCUGGGGCACUUCGCCGGCACAGGCCAGCAUCAGCUUGCCGUCGGGGACAAAAGCUUCAGGAACGUGGCUCCUCUCGGGGAGUGUUAUAGCCUGUUGCAUAAUACCCUUCGGCGGGCUGAGGUACGCGCUCCGCAAGGAUGCUGGCGUAAUGGUCAUCAGCGACCCGUCUUGAAACACGGACCAAGGAGUCAACCUUAUGUGCGAGUGUUUGGGUGUUAAACCCCUACGCGUAAUGAAAGUGAACGCAGGUGAGAGCUUCGGCGCAUCAUCGACCGAUCCUGAUGUUCUCGGAUGGAUUUGAGUAAGAGCAUAUAGGGUUGGACCCGAAAGAAGGUGAACUAUGCGUGUGUAGGGUGAAGCCAGAGGAAACUCUGGUGGAGGCUCGCAGCGGUUCUGACGUGCAAAUCGAUCGUCAAACAUGCGCA